rnacentral:rRNA from 1 species
UUAAUAUUCCUGUACUUGGUGUUACUGCGAAGGGGGGACGGAGAAGGCUAUGUUGGCCGGGCGACGGUUGUCCCGGUUUAAGCGUGUAGGCUGGUUUUCCAGGCAAAUCCGGAAAACCAAGGCUGAGGCGUGAUGACGAGGCACUACGGUGCUGAAGCGACAAAUGCCCUGCUUCCAGGAAAAGCCUCUAAGCAUCAGGUAACAUCAAAUCGUACCCCAAACCGACACAGGUGGUCAGGUAGAGAAUACCAAGGCGCUUGAGAGAACUCGGGUGAAGGAACUAGGCAAAAUGGUGCCGUAACUUCGGGAGAAGGCACGCUGAUAUGUAGGUGAAGCGACUUGCUCGUGGAGCUGAAAUCAGUCGAAGAUACCAGCUGGCUGCAACUGUUUAUUAAAAACACAGCACUGUGCAAACACGAAAGUGGACGUAUACGGUGUGACGCCUGCCCGGUGCCGGAAGGUUAAUUGAUGGGGUUAGCGGUAACGCGAAGCUCUUGAUCGAAGCCCCGGUAAACGGCGGCCGUAACUAUAACGGUCCUAAGGUAGCGAAAUUCCUUGUCGGGUAAGUUCCGACCUGCACGAAUGGCGUAAUGAUGGCCAGGCUGUCUCCACCCGAGACUCAGUGAAAUUGAACUCGCUGUGAAGAUGCAGUGUACCCGCGGCAAGACGGAAAGACCCCGUGAACCUUUACUAUAGCUUGACACUGAACAUUGAGCCUUGAUGUGUAGGAUAGGUGGGAGGCUUUGAAGUGUGGACGCCAGUCUGCAUGGAGCCGACCUUGAAAUACCACCCUUUAAUGUUUGAUGUUCUAACGUUGGCCCGUAAUCCGGGUUGCGGACAGUGUCUGGUGGGUAGUUUGACUGGGGCGGUCUCCUCCUAAAGAGUAACGGAGGAGCACGAAGGUUGGCUAAUCCUGGUCGGACAUCAGGAGGUUAGUGCAAUGGCAUAAGCCAGCUUGACUGCGAGCGUGACGGCGCGAGCAGGUGCGAAAGCAGGUCAUAGUGAUCCGGUGGUUCUGAAUGGAAGGGCCAUCGCUCAACGGAUAAAAGGUACUCCGGGGAUAACAGGCUGAUACCGCCCAAGAGUUCAUAUCGACGGCGGUGUUUGGCACCUCGAUGUCGGCUCAUCACAUCCUGGGGCUGAAGUAGGUCCCAAGGGUAUGGCUGUUCGCCAUUUAAAGUGGUACGCGAGCUGGGUUUAGAACGUCGUGAGACAGUUCGGUCCCUAUCUGCCGUGGGCGCUGGAGAACUGAGGGGGGCUGCUCCUAGUACGAGAGGACCGGAGUGGACGCAUCACUGGUGUUCGGGUUGUCAUGCCAAUGGCACUGCCCGGUAGCUAAAUGCGGAAGAGAUAAGUGCUGAAAGCAUCUAAGCACGAAACUUGCCCCGAGAUGAGUUCUCCCUGAGACUUAGAGUCUCCUGAAGGAACGUUGAAGACGACGACGUUGAUAGGCCGGGUGUGUAAGCGCAGCGAUGCGUUGAGCUAACCGGUACUAAUGAACCGUGAGGCUUAACCUU